ensembl:lincRNA Gm27216 predicted gene 27216
AAUAGAUUCCGGUAACCCCCUCCUGUCUACCAGAGUCCUCUCCCUGUAACCCAGAAUGUUUGCACGUCCCACCCGCGCUUUGCCCAGCUCCUCACUGUCCUUGGACUUCCCUGGAGAACGUAGAACUGAUGUGCACUGUUGGCUCCUGUUGUGCUGCACAGGCCUCCGGUAUUACAAACGGAACUCAAGAGCAUACACCACUCAUCUCUGCUAGUGGAUCACCUCUGAACGCUGUCUGCGCUGGGCUGAGGAUGCUCAUUACUGAAGUUCAAGGUUCUUACUGAUGUCACUGGAAAAUUUGUCUCUGCUCUGAGAAAUCACAGGGGUUAGUCUUUGUGACUCGUGAGGUGACUACACUAACACCUGGUGUUGAUAAGAUGGCAUGAAAACAGCCAGCUCUGGAAGUCGUGCGGAGUGAUGGCUCAGAAGUGAAUAGUGCUUGCUGCUCUUUCCAAGGACCCGAGAUGGGUUACCAGCACCCAUGUUCUCCAGAUCACAGUCUUCGCUAACUCCAGCUCCAGGGCUUCUAACCCCCUCUUCUGGCCUCCAUGGUACCUUUACUCAUGUGCCUGACAUCCUCCCACACAUACUUAAUGAAAAAUUAGAAUUAAAUCUUUAAUAAUAAUAAUAAAGAGUCCC